CCCAUACUAUAUUGUCUUAUAAUCAACAACAACCAUAUGUCAUAAUGGGAUCUUAUUUAGCUAUAAAUAAGAUCCCAUUAUGACAUAUGGUUGUUGUUGAUUAUAAGACAAUAUAGUAUGGG